GGCUAAUUUUUAAUUUUUCUCUCUUUUCUGAGCAAAAUCUAUUUCUCUCUCAAUAGUGUAUAAUGACACAUAUGGUUAUUAGUCUUAUGUCUUGGAUGGGAAAAUGCUAUUAGAAAUAGCUAACUGCAGUAAACAUGUUACACAAGACAGAUGCUAAUGCUUAAAAAACUAGACACUAACAUGUACCGUUUUCUUUUCCUGGAUAUACCAAAAAAGUGGAAAUAUAUAUAUAUUUUUUAAUCUCUGCAGCUUAUUAAGCUUUGUAGUCUGUGGGUAGAGAAAGAAACAAUGUUUGCACAAAAAAUGAGAUGUGAAGUUUAUUUGGUUAACCCUUAUUUACUCUUUUGUCAACAACUACAUGAUGGGAUGGUUGACUCUAUAUCAGAUUAAGGAAAUGUUGCACUAUUGAUUAUUUCUGUUAUCUUUAUUUUUAUGUUGCUUAUUAAGUUGUUUUAGUGAUCCAUCAUGAGUUUCUGGGAAACAAGAAGGGUUAAAAUAGGAGAACAGACUGAGAUCACACCAAUAUAGAGCAACCAACACAAACCACAGUGGUGAGCUAGUAUAUCUAAAAGAUACAACCAAACAAUUAUCAAGAGGCUAGCCUUAACAUUUCUAGCAUUUUUUAUUUUUUAAGAUGCAUUAGUGGCAACAUGUAGAAAUAUUCAUGUUUUUUUGAUCGGCACCGGGUGUCCGAAAACAGCAUCCCCACUAAUCUUGGGAUUGAACAAGCUCUCUCGGCAAGGAGUUUCCCACAAGUGCACCUCGGGUAAUUCAAGGAGAAAAUCCCCUAGUCCGAUAGCCCUUAGAGAUUGUUUGCACCCAAGAGGAUUCAAACCUUAAAAAUGUUCAUGUUGGUUGUCGUGAUUAUUUUAAGUACAUUGUCUGCCUUAAAUCAAUUGUUUCACUUCCCAUCUAUUGUUGAGACCAAGACAUGGGAUGAUUUAGGAAAUCUGUCUGUGCAGAUGUGUGGACUAGGGUUUUGAAAACAUGAAGAAGAAGAAUAAGAGCGGUUUCUUUGGAGAGUUUAUAUUGGGAAAUUCUGGAUGGCGGUGCCCUUUCUGGUACUAUCCUAGGCUAAGCUCCAAAAAAGCCAGCUUAUGGCCAUUCUUUAGCGAGCCUAAGCCACUGGAAAGCACUAGUAAGCAGCUUUGUAAGCCACUGUACGAGCAUCCCAAAGUCCAGUAAUCUCGACGGAGAUUAGGAUGAGCUUUGAUGAAUAAAAGAAGAAUUGGUAGAAAUCAAACCAAUUUUCAGACAAAGAACUUUAAGGGCACUCUUCCUAAUCCCAGUCUGAGAUAGAAUAAGAUCCGCUGGGAUGUUUGGGAUUUUAAGGCUUGUUUGGCAGCUGUUUGGUUGAGGAAGUAUGUGGGGUUUUAUAUUUUGAAAUAUAUGGAGAAGGAUAUAAUUUGGGGUUUGCAAAGGAGAAAAGGAGAGAAGUUUGUUGCUGUCCAGGGGCUAUGUGAACUCAUGUAAAUGGUAAUAGCGUGCCAAGAAGUAGAAGAAAAGGAGGGAGGGAGGGAGAGAUUAAUCAACUAUUUGUCAUUUGAGCAAAAUCAAUGAUAUUCUUUUUGAUAAUUUAAACUUUA